AACGAACGCUGGCGGCAGGCUUAACACAUGCAAGUCGAACGGGUGUAGCAAUACAUCAGUGGCAGACGGGUGAGUAACACGUGGGAACCUUCCUAGGGGUACGGAACAACUCAGGGAAACUUGAGCUAAUACCGUAUACGUCCGUGAGGAGAUAGAUUUAUCGCCCUUAGACGGGCCCGCGUCGGAUUAGCUAGUUGGUGGGGUAACGGCCUACCAAGGCGACGAUCCGUAGCUGAUCUUAGAGGAUGAUCAGCCACACUGGGACUGAGACACGGCCCAGACUCCUACGGGAGGCAGCAGUGGGGAAUCUUGGACAAUGGGCGCAAGCCUGAUCCAGCCAUGCCGCGUGAGUGAAGAAGGCCUUAGGGUUGUAAAGCUCUUUUACCAGGGACGAUAAUGACGGUACCUGGAGAAUAAGCCCCGGCAAACUUCGUGCCAGCAGCAGCCGCGGUAA
rnacentral:rRNA from 1 species